GAAUGUUCUUUUUUGCAAUCUAAUUGAAGGCCUUCCGUUUUUCAUAUUUCUUUUUUCUCUACUAUGUGCCUUUAAAUUUUAAACUACUACUUGGAGUUAUUGGGAUUUGGGUUCCAGCGAUUCUUCUCAUUUCAUUGUAGCAAUAUUCUAUCACUUAUUCUUGUUGUAUUUUAAGUGAACAUGUGCUCAUUGUAAGUAAUUAUAUUCUUGUUACAGAUUUUAGACAAACAUAGGGAAGCUAUGGUAUUCUAUGGGACAAUCUAUAAGAAGCACCAAUAAACAUUAGAUUUCUUUGACAUCAGAAUGUUGCACUUGGUGGAUCUUGAGGAGUUGUGUGCGAGCCAAUACCUGCAACUGAUAGCCAAUCAUCAGGUCAACUUUGAACAAUAGAUGGACAUAGAUGACUACAAAUUGAUGCUCAGAACAUAAGCAAAUAACCUGUUCCCAAUUUGGCAUGAAAGAGUCAAGAAUACUAAAAAAAACAACCUAGUAGAGAUUGAAGUCUAGAGACAUCAGCCUCUGCAUUCAAUGAUACAUGGAUAUCAUAUAUUUCUAUGGUUACAAUGAGUUCUAACAUAGAUAAAGUCAAAGACAAUUUGCAAAACUGCCAUGGAUCAUCUCAGAAGCAAGCAAACACGUCACAGUGAGGAUAUAGUGAACUCUUCAUCAAGUAUCCUUUUGAUUCACGUCAUAUAGGAUAUGUAUUAGUUUUGAUUUCAAGCAAUUAGAUGCUAUCAACAUUGAUUUUUGGUGUAAGGUGAAGGACUAGGAUAUUGUUUCAUCAGCAUAUCACAUGUAGUCAUGAUGAUAUACAGUUUAGAUGAUGGUUACAUGCAGGUAAAUAGUAUUGCCUUCUCGCAAGCUUCUUCGGUUGUCCAGAGUGAAGGACCUAAAGAUACAGUAGCACGGGCCUUCACAUAGAUCAGCUCUAAGCUAGCACAUCCGGAUGGAGAUCAUGCUCAACAUGGCCAGGGGAUUGGAGUAUCUUCAUGAGGACUACCCUCCAGUGAUCCAUAGGGAUCUAAAAUUAUCCAACAUACUUUUAGAUUUAGACUUUGAUGCUAAGGUAACUGCUUCCCCUUUUCUUUGAGGUUAAUUUAUUUUAUCAUCCUAACUGCAGUUCAAAAUGAUGGAAAUCGGUAAAAGUGCAACAUUGUAGCUUCACCUCCUUUUAUUUUACUUUAGUUAGCAGUAAUCUCAUUUGCUGUAAAAUGUUUAGUACUUCAGUACACCAUGGUCAUUUUCCUCUGAUGUGCAACAAAAUGGCUCAAUAUGUGUGACCAAGAAGAGUUUUUCCAUCCCCCCCUUGGCAUCACUGGAUAACUACUCAUCUUUCAGAUUAUAUAUUAGUACAACGUUACAAAUCUACUAUCUUAAUUCAAUGAAGCAAGAACUGCUACUUUGUAUGGUUUCCCUCUUCAAUCUUUGGACGCCUCUAUCUUCCUUACCUGACUGAGUAUGUAUUCAUCAUUCGGUUUGAGCUUAUUUAGAAUUUUCUUUGAUCUUUUGUAUGUCGAUAUAGAAACCCUUCUCGCCCAGUGUAUAUGAAAAAUAUAAAUCUACAUUGUCAAUUAAU